CAGUAGCCGCGGGAAUACGAAGGGGGCUAGCGUUGCUCGGAAUGACUGGGCGUAAAGGGCGCGUAGGCGGCGAUCAAAGUCAGGCGUGAAAUUCCUGGGCUCAACCUGGGGGCUGCGCUUGAUACUUGGUUGCUUGAGUGGGGAAGAGGGUCGUGGAAUUCCCAGUGUAGAGGUGAAAUUCGUAGAUAUUGGGAAGAACACCGGUGGCGAAGGCGGCGACCUGGUCAUUGACUGACGCUGAGGCGCGAAAGCGUGGGGAGCAAACAGGAUUAGAUACCCGUGUAGUCCCUGUCUCUUAUAC
rnacentral:rRNA from 1 species